GGACUUCCUUGUCAGGGGAGACAAUCGUGGUCAAAAACGUGAUUGUCCCAGGGUAAGGUUCAUCUGCUGCAUUCCAGGUGUGCUGACCUCUACUGUUCCUCACACGAGAGAGACUUCGUAAUUUGUGGUAGUGGGGAUUUCAUUUGUGCCUUCCUCU